AAGUAUUUCAAUUUACUUAACAAAUAUUUUGAUAUAGUAUGAAAUAUGGAAAGGAAAUGUGAGACGAGAAAUGUCGCGAAGAAAAUGUUCUUGAAUAAUCAAUGAAAACAAAAAAAGAAAAAAAACGCAAUAACCUCAAAACAUGAGAGUCUCGGUGUUACUCGCAGCUAUUAACUUUUUUAUGCUUAAAGUUGUUAAAGCAAAGUGUUUUAGAUAUUAUGAUAUUCAGUCAGUUCAAGCAAUUUCUUGCACGUUUGCAAUGGUUAGUUUACAGUAUUUUUAUAUGUAUUCUACGUACGUAGUCAUCCGGAUUAACUUCCUCUUCUCAAAUGAAAUAUCUUACUACGUUUAAAAAAAUUAUCUGAUCACAAACAUUUAUCAUCACAAGCUGAACCAUGUCGUCACGAAUCAUCUAUUUAAAAAUUAUACACAAACACAAAUUAUACAAAAACAAAGACACGCUUCAAAGAUUAUAUGGAAGGUUCGGGCCAAACAGAAACGAGGGUGUAUAGAGGAACCAUAAGGAUGGGGAUGGCGAGUAUCAAUCUAAUAGUAAUGAGCAGUGAUGCCGAGCGGAAGACUUUGAAAUAUACAUUAUGCGGGGAUUAUGUUUAUGCAUGCGGGAAAGGCGGCGAGAGCAUUUUUCUUUUGAUAUGCCUUCCGCGACUCCCGCGAGGAGCAUCUCUGCGCGGUGGCUGUGAGAUUUGAAUAAAAGUAUCUGGCCGAGUCACUCUGCCGGGGAGCAAUUCGCCAGCUGCUUUUUACAACUGCGUGCUCUCAUUAAAUAUGUAUAGAUUCGCGCCCCGAGCAUGUUCCCCCGGAUUCGGCCGCCCCCCUUCGCCCCUCACCAGCUCCUUAUAUCCCUGGCCCGAUAAUAGAACCGCGCGAACGAUUACCAAAAACAUAUGUUUUAAAGAUUGCACGCCGCGGGACAGAUAUAUCGUGGCCGCUAUCAUUUUUUCCAGAGAGCCUAACCGCGAUUCCGCGCGUACGACGCACGGUAAAUCACUCGAAAAUAGAAGGAUUGGAAGGGAGUAAUUUUUUAUCUCAAGUGAUCGAUACGACAAACUUGAACAUCUUAUCCUAUGUAACGAGGUUAUUUGAUUUGUCAAAGCUUCGACAUCAAGAAAUUGACGGAAGGUGAAGUUGAUCACCUUGGCUUCUAGGAGGCUGAAUAGUAAGAAUAAAGAAUAUCACAACAAGAGAAUGCGCGUAAAAUUGGGAGGCUGAGAAAAGAACUUCUUCGUCCCAGGAGCGAUUUAUUCAUAAACUCUAACAACCAUGAUAAUGCGUAUCCUGUAUUCAGAAAUUACCUGUCGAAUAAAAGUCGAAAAGAAAGAAGAUAAAGAGGCGGAAGAAGCACAAUGAAAUUCACCGGUCACUCUGUCUACGUACAGGUCGAUUAACUUCGGCUCGCUAGCAGUCAGUCAGUCAAUCAUUAGGUAAUGAGGCCGUGUUUGGAGGCCGGUGUAACUGGACGUCGAUAGUCCGUAUAAACGUAUCGCCGUCCGCAUAGAAUAGGUCUCGUGAUCUUAUCGUCACGGUUUCAUGUAAUGCUAAUGGACACAUGGUAGCCCAAUAUGUACCUUAAACGAAAGGGUUAAUAUGAUAGCGGGAUAAUGCGCGGACAUUAAGGAGCCGGACGAGGCACGCCGGACAAAUUAUGAAGAGAACCAUCCGGACGAAACGAGAUCUCGUUUGUUGCUGCCUCCUUGAAGGACUGUAUGGAGCGACAUGGUCUCGAAAUUCGGGAAAAAGGAAGCGCAGGGGUAGCCGGCCGGUCCGACAAAGGACGAGAGAAUCCCUCGGGAGGCACGGCACGAGUGGGUCAGUGACGUCGGGCACGGGACAGCGUGCAUAUCGAAGGAGGGACGACGGGAGGGAAGAAGCCAGCGGCCCUCCUCGAAUGAUCUUGACUCGAGGGGGAGACGGCGUGCGAGCGAGCGAGAGACGCGGCUGAGCCGCGGGCGAGUUGUAUAAUAUGAACGCGCCGGACCGCGGCGCAGUUUCGGCAGGCUAUAAUCAAUUCUGAUUGCAGUCCAGCAUCGCAGCGCGAUCCACCGGGCCGAUAGCUGAGAAAAAAGUUCGCGCUUCCAACUACCGGGCUGCCCAUGGUACUACGGCCCGUUCAAGGGACCGAGGGGAACCAGCUACCAGGGUGUACUAGCGACUGCGACUUUGGCUGAGGAUACAAAGUGGAAAAAGGAAAAUAUUGGAAGAUAGAUUAGAAAAGGGUACGAAGGAGAAAAGUUCAGGAGCGAAGAAGAUGGCAAAAAGGUGGCGAAGAAUGGGAAUAUUUUAUAGAAUCCUAUAUAGCCAUAAAAACAUCACAAGCGACCUUUCGACAAAUAUAACUGGCAAAGAUAAAAAGACUUUCUUCCAAUAAGGGGGGUGUUAUAGCAAAGUAGGCCAUUCGCCAAAUUCACGUGUUCUAACGUUUAGAACCUCGAAACAGAAAUUGUGUACUCGAAAGAGUAAAAGAGGGACGAUGCAGCAUCGACUGGAUAAAAACGGAAUCGAGUUAUUUUAUUUAUCGGUUGGUCAGCAGCCAGCCUGGCUACGCCUUCGAAGUCUCGCGAGCUAUCGUUGGACACGCGGGAGGGAAAGAGAGAAGCGAGGAGAAGUCGGGUCCAGGCGAGGCCAGACUGCAGUCUCUCGGUUCUUCGGUUCUCCUCUGCCAUCGAAUGGUUCGGGGAACGACGGAAGAAUGCAUCCAUCGGUUGUGCAUCGGUGCAACAGCAACAAGAGCGCGCGCGCGCGAGCGCACUCUUCUUAGGAGACAACCCUUUUUUCCUCGCCCCUUCUUCCUUCCUCUCUCGCGACGUACGUUCGGUUCGUACGUUCUUUUCCAUCCCAUUCGAAGAGACAGAUUCUUCUUCUCUUUCUCUGCGAUGUGUCGCGCGAGCGUCCGGCCCCAUUAGCAGUUGGACGAGCCAUCAUUCAAUAACGCUCUCAAUGCCUGUGCGACCGUGUCUCCCGCGUGCACACUGUCCGUGUGCAGCCGACACGCGUGUCGUCGUACGACUGAUCAUCGUGCACCAGUUUCUCUCAACUGGCUGCCUCGCGAUCGAAUUCGACUACCGUGAAGAACGACUGCAAUACUCGUCGAAACUUAGGGUUCACUCGUUUUAUAUGACCCAGUCAAAAGCCAAAUUCACCAACUCUACUUUCUAUAAGCUUCGUAAUUUAACGAUAGAUUUAGUAACAUCGACGAGAUAGCAUUUAAUUUCAGAUUCGGUCAAUGUGCUCUAUUAACAGAAUUCUAGAUACUGUUACGAAAUAACAAUGAAAGAGAUGUAGCAGAAACUCGAUCGAAGAUCGUAAAACGAACGCGUCGUCGCUUGGUUAAUUAGCAGCACGUUGUCAUCAAUUUUGUUCCGUCACGAGAGAGCUUAAAGCUCGAUGAUGCAUCGCGGAGAUAUUAAACGCAGCCAUCUCUGGUUUGUCCGUCAAUCUCCAGACAAACUGUCAGCAGAUCCGUAUGUACACAUCGAAGGCCUGCAAUUUAAGUCGGCCAGACUCGACUGACAAUGCUGGUGUGCGAUCGACACCGGUAUUAUGUGCGUCAGAUUACAAUUUACAUUUCGUAUCUUAAUUUCAAGCGGAUCAAGAUUAAACAUAUGGUAUGAUCGUGAUUUCGUUAUUUACUCGACGAUGCGCAAAAUAAUUUUAAUUGAAUGUUUAUAGUCUGACCAACGGAAUUAAUAGCUAUACUCCUUUUACAUUUGUUUUGGUAGUACAUUUAGCAUUUGUAAAUUAUUUAUUUCUUUUUUUAUAGAAAAAAAUCAUGUACAUAACGGAAUGUUGAAGUUUAUUGACAUUAUCGGUCUUUUAGUUAUCAUUAUUUAUAGUGUUACAUUCGAGAUUAUUAUACUUGCAAAUGGCGAGCAAAGCGAUUAAUUUUCGUUCGAACAAAGCGACGAUGGUUUUGCGGUCAUUCCCUCUUAUUGCGGAUUCAAUAUCGCGCGUGCACACGUAUGAUUUAUAAUACUGAUUAAAUCCUUCGUAUUUAUCAUUUUGCCACUGUCGGCACGUGUGUAACCGGUUCUCGCUCACGUAGCUUUUCGACAAAUUUCGCGAAAUCAACUACGUCCGAUUUCGCUGAAUCACAACGCGCUAAUUAAGUAUAUUAUUAGACGCGGUUUUUACCUAUCUCUGCCAAUUAUAUCGACUACGAAAUUUCUACAGUAAUCCAUUAAGGCUAUCACAAUUUUAAUCUACUAAAAUUGAUUUACAAAAUAUUCACCUGUCGAUGUUUUUUUUAUAACAUUCUGUUUAUUAUUAAAUUUAAGCAAAA